rnacentral:rRNA from 1 species
UACGAAGGGGGCUAGCGUUGUUCGGAUUUACUGGGCGUAAAGCGCACGUAGGCGGAUCGUUAAGUCGGGGGUGAAAUCCUGGAGCUCAACUCCAGAACUGCCUUCGAUACUGGCGAUCUUGAGUCCGGAAGAGGAGAGUGGAAUUCCUGGUGUAGCGGUGAAAUGCGCAGAUAUCAGGAAGAACACCCGUGGCUAAGGCGGCUCUCUAGUACGGUACUGACGCUGAGACGCGAAAGCGUGGGGAGCGAACAGG